AGUGCAAUUGCUGGGUCAUUCGGUAAGUCCAUUUUUGAAAUAACUUCCAAGGUAUUUUCCAGAGAGGUUGUACCAUUUUACAUUUGUAUUAGCAAU
rnacentral:pre_miRNA from 1 species